CGCCCCCACCCCCGCAACCCCUUCUCUCUCUCUCUCUGGAACACAAAAUCGAGAAAAGGACCAAAAGGCGAAAACUCUCUUCGGCUCUCGGGGGAGGAAAGAAAAAACAAAGGGGAAUUUAUCACUCUAAUGUCUCUGCGGAAAUCUAUUCUCUCUCGAAGGUUCUCCAAGUCGUUCAAGUCUGUUAACAAUCAUAAAAACGACGGUGCUGGAGGAGUGGUGGUGCCCACCGGUCUCGGUGGCGAUGUAUCCGGGGAGUUGUGGGCCGAGUCGGACCCUGUCGAUGGCUGGGCGAGCAUGUUGCCUGAAUUGCUUCGGGAGAUAAUAAAACGAGUGGAGGAGAGCGAUGAUCGGUGGCCUCAGCGACAAAACGUCGUUGCUUGUGCUUGUGUCUGUAAAAAAUGGAGAGAGAUUACGAAGGAGAUCGUUCGGUCUCCACGCAACAUAGGCAGAAUCACUUUUCCUUCUUGCCUUAAACAGCCAGGUCCGCGUGACUUACCUCAUCAAUGUCUUAUAAAACGGAAUAAGAAGACUUCAACGUUUUAUCUCUCUCUUGCUCUUACUCCAUCAUUAAUGGACAAGGGAAAGUUUCUUCUAGCAGCACGGAGGUUUAGACAUGGUGCUCACAUAGAAUAUAUCAUCUCACUUGAUGCAGAAGAUCUAUCCCCCCAAGGAAGUAAUGCUUAUGUUGGAAAGUUAAGUUCGGACUUUCUUGGCA
rnacentral:misc_RNA from 1 species